UACGUAGGGGGCAAGCGUUGUCCGGAAUUAUUGGGCGUAAAGAGCGUGUAGGCGGUUCGAUCAGUCCGCUGUGAAAGUCCAGGGCUCAACCCUGGAAUGCCGGUGGAUACUGUCGGGCUAGAAUCCGGAAGAGGCGAGUGGAAUUCCUGGUGUAGCGGUGAAAUGCGCAGAUAUCAGGAGGAACACCGAUGGCGAAGGCAGCUCGCUGGGACGGUAUUGACGCUGAGACGCGAAAGCGUGGGGAGCAAACAGG
rnacentral:rRNA from 1 species